UACAGAGGUCUCAAGCGUUUGUUCGGAUUCAUUGGGCGUAAAGGGUGCGUAGGCGGCGGGGUAAGUCUGAUGUGAAAUCCCGGGGCUCAACCCCGGAACUGCAUUGGAUACUGCCCUGCUUGAGUACUGGAGAGGAGACUGGAAUUUACGGUGUAGCAGUGAAAUGCGUAGAGAUCGUAAGGAAGACCAGUGGCGAAGGCGAGUCUCUGGACAGUUACUGACGCUGAGGCACGAAGGCGUGGGGAGCAAACA
rnacentral:rRNA from 1 species